UACGUCGUAGUGCAACUAUUCAUCCGAAUGAGGGGCCAAAAUAUGAAUCGGCAGAAGUUGUAACUUCUACAGAGCAACUAUGAAUAAAUUGGCCAUGGUGGGAAAUCUUUGUUGGAUGUUUCGGAAAUGCUUCCCGAUGGUAUUUUUAUUCUGAAAUUUUCAAGAACAGUGCAAAUAAAAAAAAAAUCAACCUAAAUUUUGGGAAAAAAUCGAAAAAGUAGAUGAGUAUUUCACGCCAAAACUUUAAUUGGAACCCAU